AAGCCCACACAUGGUAUUUCAGUUCCUCAGAUCUGCGUUUUGGAGGCUAUGCUCAUCUCUGGGAAAGCUCUCAGGGAAACGUGAAAAUGGCUGAUAGGCUCAGGAGAAUUAGAAGAAAGGUCAUUCUUACUGUGCUUGGUCCACAUUCUGGGUUGGCGAAGUUUCCAAUUAGACGUGGCCUGCCAAGUCCACAAGUGGUAGCAAGUUCCACUUCCUACCUUUCCCUUUGCUCCA